rnacentral:rRNA from 1 species
GCUUGUCUCAAAGAUUAAGCCAUGCAUGUCUAAGUAUAAACAAAUCUAUACUGUGAAACUGCGAAUGGCUCAUUAUAUCAGUUAUAGUUUAUUUGAUGGUUCUUGCUACUUGGAUAACCGUAGUAAUUCUAGAGCUAAUACAUGCACAAAAUCCCGACUUACGAAGGGAUGUAUUUAUUAGAUACAAACCAACAUCGUGGUGAUUCAUGAUAACUUUGCGAAUCGCAUAGCUUUAAUGCUGGCGAUGGGUCAUUCAAAUUUCUGCCCUAUCAACUUUCGACGGUAGGAUAGAGGCCUACUGUGGUGAUAACGGGUAACGAAGAAUAAGGGUUCGAUUUCGGAGAGGGAGCCUGAGAAACGGCUACCACAUCCAAGGAAGGCAGCAGG